rnacentral:lncRNA from 1 species
UGUAAUGGUAAUGUAUCUCCCGUAUGAUCAUCUGACAUUGUUUCUUCUAGGAAGAUAUAAUGAACGCAUCUUCUCUACAUCAAGAAGAAGGCUACUCAAACUUAAGACAACAUUUUAAUCUCAGUCAAAAUGGGACAUCUUCAACAUAAGGUUGUCUGCAGUAAUGGGCAUGUCUCAAACGUUAACAAACACCAUAUUUGGUGCUUCUUCCUCUGCCCAAGAAUAUAACUUUAUCAAAAGGAAAUUUCCUGCUCAUUUGAGCAGUCUCCAUAGCAACAGUACUGUACACCUGUGAUAUAUGGGCACAAGCCGUUACAACCUAUGAACUAGCUGGAGUGAGCUGUGCCCCACCCCCUGCCAAAGCCAGAGUACAUCUGCCAUGUAUCCAUGGCACCUGGUUCUCCAUGCCACCUCACAGUGUCAGGAAGUUGCAAUGCUCCAGUUGCACUGCAUCCUGCUGCCACAGGCUAUGUGCAUGCAGCAGCAUCACCAGAGGAGAUGAUCCAGAGUUCAACUCCUGAGCAUGGCCCCUUGGUCCUCAGCACUGCGCCCUGCCCUCCAACUCCCACCUGAGGAUUUGUUCCCAGAAGUUGUGUC